AUAUGCUAUUUGUAAAGAUAAGAUAGUAACCUUUGGAUUAGGAAUUGUUGUAGAAAUCAAUUGCCUUUAGAUAUAGGUCUUGCCUUAGAUUAGGAAUAAGACUUAUAAAGGAUUGUUUAGUGUCGAAUAGGCUUGAAAUCAAUUAGGUAUCAUAGUUGGGUUAGAGUUGAUGGGUUUUGGUCAUAAGACAUCCUAUGUGCUCAUACAAACCCUAAAGCUCGGAUCUAGGUUUCUCUAUUGUACAUACUUUGAAUCCAAGACUUGAACCCUAAUUCUAGCAUAUGGAAAUCAGAAUUCACAUGUAAAUAGGUUUAAGAACAUACCUUGAUUGUUAUGUAGCAAUAGCAAUCCAAUUCCUCCUUGAAUUGACCUUGGAAAGCAAAGAGUCACAAGUGUCACUCCUCUAAUGGCUUACAAACACCAUAAGCAAGUGGAGAAGGUAUAUAGAGAGAGGAGGGAGGUUAGAAUUCGUAUUUGGGACUUCUUGGGAAGGGAUACACGAAUUCCUAACCCUAGGGGUGUUUAUAUAGGUGUAGAGAUAGGGUUUCAGUCAUUAUCCUUAUCUAGUUGAUUAUCCAUUAAGCAACCAAUAAGAUAAUCCUUGAAUCCUUAUCAUACUCAAAUUCUAAGGCUUUCCAACCUUAAAUUCGUUCACCAUACUUAUAAGAUAAUCCUUACCUUAUUUUGUAACUAUCACAUAAUUACAAUUCAGCCCCUCAAGUUUAAUUAAUUACACUUGAUCACAAAAUUAAUUCUCAAUUAAUUAUUGACCAAUAUUAAUUAAACAAAUAUGAUUUCUCCUUUAAUAUAUUAUCCUUAUAACAUAUUAAUAAAUCAUAUUAUCCUCUCUUUCUAUUUAUUUCUCCAAUCAAGUUGCUUUGGUGAAGGCAACCCAAAAGGACCAUGCACCAUCGGGUCAAGUACAUACCAAAAUAGUUAUGGACUUAGACACUAAUCCAACAGUCUCCCACUUGGAUAAGUCUAAUAACUAUUCUGCGUAUGACUUCGGAUCCCGAUCUGCAAUCGUAGCUUUCCAAAGCCGCUGUCAACUCUGAUCAUAUCAAAUACGCGUGUCCUUAGAUAAGGGAUCAUAUAUUCCUCCAUUCUAGAUAUCAUAUGAGAUAUGAUUUCAAAUCAUUCUCUUUGUACUAUAUCUCGAUUUCCGAUUUAUGACGACUGACUAAUUGAACAAAUCAAAUUAGCCCUAGCCCGGCCGAGCAUUUACGUUUGUCAUCACUAAACCAUCGAGGGGCCCAAAGAUAUCGCUUUUAUCCUACUUUGGAUAAAAGGAACGGAUAAACUUUGAUACAAUGCUUGCUUGCACUCACUCACCGAAUCACACACAACAAUAUGUUUUAUAACACCAAGUUACUAGUGCGUUUACAUAUUAUCAAUGUGCAACCGAUUUGCAAGAUACAACUCACACAUCUCGGUUUCAAGAAUAUAAGAUGUUAUCGUCUCACCAAUCACUCGUGAUACAAUUCAUGGAGUGAUCCAAGUGAGCGUGGGUUUAAUCCAAUGCUCAAAUCACAUUCAUAAGCACUCAUGAACGUUGCAGCAAACAUUUGCUUAUGUCUAAUACUCUUUUAGACAAUCCACACACCAAUUCACGACAGUCUUCAUUCAUAUCUACUUCCAACAUAUGAACGACUGUGGCCCGUUUGAAUAAUUCGAUUAUUCUUAAUAAACUCAAUUAUUCUGGAAGUCAAAACAUGCAAAUGUGAAACACAAGAAUAAUACUAAUCCCAUAUGGCCUCAAACCUUUGAGUAUAAAUAAAACACCUUUUAUUUAUCACCAUAUUGAUUACUCAUUAUUUGUCGUUUCGGGUAAUCAACUUCUUACUUGAAUUCCAACACUUGUCCCAUGCUCCUAGCAUGCACACAAUGUUUACCUAUGGUUCUUACUUUGUGAAAUAGAUCACAUUGAACACAUUUCCAAUCCUUCUCAUUUCACAACUCCAAAUCCGUUUUUCAUAAGUUAAAGAAUAUCAAAUUCUUGCUACUUAUAGAAUAUGCUAGAUUCUAACAUUCUAUGCAACUAUCCUUUCGUAAUGUCACUGCACCAAAGUCACAAAGACUAUUGCCAAUGAUAUUACAAAGUCCUCUAUCGGAGAUUGUUACAAGACAAUUCCAUAGACGUGAUGUCUCUCACUCAAAGUACAUUCUUUGAACAUCCUUUUGCAUAGAAGUUUCUAAUCUAGUCAUAGAUUUCUCAAUAUUCAAUUCCCAAUAUGGACACACUUCCAUAUGUUCCAUAUGACAACUCAUUCUUAAUAGAAUCUUAUCUAUUCGUAAUGAUGUCGAUAUGGUCCAUCCAAUAUGGAAACAUUUCCAUAUUUUCCAAUACUAUACUUCCAACUACUCACAAGCGACCAAUCCUCGUCGAACUUUGGAUUGUCCUUUGAUAGUUGUUUAAUUAUUUUAGUCAAAACCAAUUCUAGUCCCUUUUCCCUCUAAAUGCGCUCGACAUUUGGAAAAUUUUAGAAUGGUCAAACAUUAAAGCAUUUGCAAUCGAUCCUAUACCCGAAGCGUAUGGGACACGACGCAUAAUGUUUUAUUUGCUAUGUUCUCAAAAUUCGAAUUGUGAAGAGGGAUGCCGUAAUCAUAAUCGAAAUUUUAAGAACACACUAUGUACCUUUGACUAAAUUUAUUAACAUUUCUCAACCUAAUCCUUUAGAUUUGAAAUGAAGCAUAAUAUUCUCUCCCUUAAUUAUAGCAAAACAACUUUACAACCCUUACGACUUUGCAAGGUAUAACUCUUGUUUUCUAUAAUUAAUAUUGCCAACUUGCAAUACUUUCCUUAAUAAUCAUACAAUCAUAACAUUUAUGCUCCCACUAUCAUGAUGAUUAUUAUAAAACAUAACACUUAUGCUCCCACUAGCUUCGACAUGUAUUCAUAAACAUCUUAACUUUCAGAAAAACAAUACUUAUUGAAUUUCUUAAGUUCAUGUUUCUAAUACUUAGUGCUUUGAUAAUCCUUUAUCAAGGCUUCUUGAACUUAUACACCUUUGCCUUCGAUAGUUCAUAUGUGUGUCUAAACAAUUAAGACUAAUUGCCAAACCUCACAAUUCAAAUUAUGGAAAGGGAUACCGUAACCAUAAUCGAAUUCGAGAAUGCAAUUUUACAAUCACUAUCUUCUUAAAAUCUUUCUUAGUGAAAGCAUUUCCUCACAAUCAUUUUCAUGAAGGAGGAAAUCUUAUGACACUUAGAUUUAAACGGUGUAUGUGUUCCUAUCCAUGUGAAUUUGUUAAAACCAAAGUUUACGACAAAUUCAAACUCAUAUGGACCGAACUUUCUUAAUCUUGAUUUCUUGCCUUAUGGUAGCACAGCUGCCCACCAUGUCUUCCAAGUAGUUAAGCAGCUCACCCUUUCCUAUCAAUGUACCUUUCAUUGAUUAAGGUGCUUUGCCUUUUAUGCGUUCAAAAUGAGAACUCAUAGAACUCACAUGCAUAAUUAACUCGAUUGGAUUGGCACAGAAACAAAAUAAUGUCAACACGAUAGGUUGUAAACCUCAACUCGUGUGCUAGUGAUGAUCGAUAAGGUUUAUUUGAUUUGUUCUUGAAACCUUUCAAGACCAUUAAGACUCCCACUGACUCCUUGACAUAUAAGAUUCUCUUGUCAAUAAACAUUUCUUGACAAACAAAUAUUCAAGAGUUAGUGUAGCUUUUAUCAAAACACUUCAUAAAUUGGUCCUAGUUGGUCUUUGUCUUAUCCAAGACAUCACAACUUUCCACAUUUGAUGAAUGUUAUAAACCUUCUUAAUACUUUUCACUCAAUGUCACAAUCUUAACUCUAAGACUUGUUUUGGAACGAAGUAUGAUUGACUUCUUGAUUUAACCAUUUCUUCAAUUCUUGAUUCCUCUUCUUAGACAUACAAUUGUACUAAGACUCACUUAGAGGAUCAAUUGAGAUAUGGUUCUUAAUCAUUAAGACCUAUCAUAAAGCAUAAAAGGUACUCUCCCUUCUUCUUAGAAUGGAGAAACUUUUAUCUUUCUGCCUACUUGAUUCUUCUUAUUCGUUUUGCUAUUGAUUUAAACUUUUUCAAUCAAUUCAGAAUUACACUUAAUCUUGUAAGUAUAAUCAUAUUUACUAAACCUUUAGUAAAUCAUGACGAAUAUCUUUGUUACUCUUAUGGUGGACUUGAUCAACACGCAACUUUGUGUACUCGAUCUCCUAGUCCUUCACUUGACACUUUGUCAAUGAAUUAGUCUAAUUUCCAAAUAUGAAAUUUCUCAUUCAUCGUGCAACCAAGUUGCAUGAUUCCAAGUUUCUGUCCAAUUGAAACUUGGGCGAUGAGAAACUCUCCCUAUUUGGUAAACUCUCGACUUUCCAUAAAUAACAUAAUAAGAACCAAAUCCAUUAUUGCUAAUAAUAGAAACAUUCAAACAUCAAUUUUUCAUAUACGCCAUUGCAAGGAUAAAUAAAUAAUAUAAAAUCAAAAUUUAUUUUAUUGCGGAAAAAAUUUGUCCUUACAAUGCAAUUCAUUGAAAAACUAUGCUAAUACAUCUUUCUUAGCAAUCUAAUUCUAACUCUAAGUAGUAGCUCAAGAAUCUAAUCUUCGAGAAAUGCGAUCGAAAUCCAUUCCUUCACGGUUAGAUUCUGCUCACUUCUUCCCUUAAGCUUCCUUUCUUUUCUUCGAUCCUACAAAACAUCAAUUGUAAUCUUAUCACAUUAUGUAUUAAGAAUCUAGAAUAGAAGCUUAAAAGAGUUAGUUAAUGGAUUUUACCUAUAUUAGAGCCAUACGUUUCGACUCUCCCAUCUCUUAGAUCUCUUAGGUAAAUGGGGCAGCUUCGUCUCCAAUGCCCUUUCUCUUGGCAAUAAAAGCAAAUUGACUCUUUUGGAACAUGACAUGGAACUACUUCAGACAUUGCCUUUCUCUUAUGAUCAAACUUUUCGAUCAUAGCAUGUCUUUCGUUGCCAUUGUCUAUAUCCAUAGAGGUCUUGAAGGCAGAUUCACCAAUCAACUUUGCUUUUCUAUUGCGCCAAACCAUUGCUGAUUCAGCAGCAAUAAGCAUAUAGGUGAGAUCUAUAAGGGUCACGUCGCGGUUCAUCAUAUAGUACUCUCUUACGAACUCACUAUAUGAGUUAGGAAGUGACUGAAGAACCCAAUCAACAGCCAUUUCCUCACAGACAACGGAUCCCAACAUUCUUAACCUAUCAAUGUGUGACUUCAUCCCUAGGACGUGUGCACACACCGACUUUCCUUCUUUAUGUUUACUUGCCAAAAGGGCUUGAGUGAUCUUGAACUUUUCAAGCCUUUGAACUUGUGGGUUAGGGAGAAUAAUUGGAGGAGGAGGAGGAAGUGAAGCAUGAUUUCUUGUUCCUCGAUCGAAUCGUGGAAUAUCAUCUUCAUGUGGAAUGCUUGUUCCACGGGAUUUGGGAAGACCAUAGUUGUCGAACUUUGACAUCUACAAAACGGGAGAAAACGAAUUCAAGUUAGUUGAUUGAUUGAGUCCUUAGUAAAUCACCCAAAUGAGAUACUAAGGCUAGGACCCAACACAAUAUUCUACAACUCGGGAGAGGGAUGCCGUAACCCUAAUUGCAGAAUAUUUGAAGGUAAGUGAAUGACGAUUCACUAAUUUCCACCAUGAAAAACGAAAAAGAAAUUUAAGUUUUAAAUCUAUGAAAACUCCUAGAUCCUUUGAGAUUCAUUGAACUUUCAAUGGCAUGUUUAAAUCUCGAUAUGCCCCUCUUGUUUGUGACUGGGAUGCCGAGGAUCACAAAGCGGGUGUGAAUAACCAUGCAAACUUACAUGGUGCCCUCACAUGUUACAGUCACCUAUUCGAUGUGCCGGUAAACCACACACGCUCCACCGAACUAUGACAAACAUUGAGUCACCCUUUGCUACCUUUGCUUAGAACCAUUUAGUGUGCCGGUUAACCACACACGCUCCACUAACGUCUUCGCAAGGGCACAAAGUGUAAUUUCAUGGAAUUGCAUCAAUUCACUUUUGCCUAAGUAACUAAGAUUGGGAAUUUUAUGAAAACAUUUAGUUACUUUAAUAAUUCAUUAUACUUAUAAUGGAAGGUUUCGUCCUAUCCUACCCGUUCGGCUAACGACCCUCCACUAGUCAAGAGUGCGGUGGGUAAGAGUGGAUACCCAUUCAAUCGCCAUUUUAUAGGCAAUUUCCUUAAACACCCCUUAUAGACCAGCUUCGUGAAUGAGGCCUACUAACGGUAAGACUGACUUUUACUCAUACAUAUAUAUAAUGUUAGACUUUUAAUGUUAUAUAUAGUAUAGGGUGUAUUUUAUACUUUUAAAAUACUAGGUGGUCUAAUUUAACAAUUAUACUUUUAAUUCAAUUAAAUUGUAAACCUAAACUUUUAUGGAUUUAUUAAACCUCUUUUAAUUAUACACCUUAAUUAAUUAAUAAAACCAUAAGGGUGUGAUUUGAACUUUUUCAAAACUAUACUAGAGUUUUAGAAUUUAACAUUCCUAAUUAAACUUUUAAUCAACUUUUAAAUUCCAAAACUUGAGGGCAAGUUUUGAAACAUUUCAACACAUUAGGGUUUAGAAUUUAAAUAUGCAUCAAAAUUAAACUAUUUAAUCAAAAUUUAAAUUCCAAAACUUGAGGGCAAGUUUUGAAACCUUUUUCAAAACAUUAGGGUUUCAACUAUUUAAAUUUCAAAACAACAAAACUUUUGGGGUUCAAAUUUAAACUAUAAAACCUAAAGGGCCAAAUAUGAAACUUUUCACAACAACAAGGAUCAAAUAACAAAUAAUUCAAAUUAACAUUUAAUCACAUAAUUAUCCAUAUUUGAUGAUUUCUUGCAAAAUAAUUUAUCAAUUUACUUAAAAUAAUUAAUCAAUUAUCUUAUAAGGAAACAAUUAUCCUAUUAAUUGAUAAAUAUCUUCAAUUAGAUUAAAAUUAUAGUCAAAUAUAUCAUAUAAUCGGAUUAAUAUUAAUCUAACAUGAUAAGGUAAUUAUCCCAAUGCAAAAACAGCAAGAAAUCCCGAGAUAAGCACUGUCUGACGCACCGACUCGCCGAGUCACCCUCUGGAACUCGCCGAGUAGGGCUGACUCGCCGAGUCCAAGAGUGACUCGCCGAGUCAGGUCGAACAGUGAGGCCAAAACACGAUUUUCAGUUACAUCAAGCAUCAAUACAAUAGAAACCAAUCAUGGCUCUGAUACCACUGAUGGGUUUUGGUCAUAAGACAUCCUAUGUGCUCAUACAAACCCUAAAGCUCGGAUCUAGGUUUCUCUAUUGUACAUACUUUGAAUCCAAGACUUUGAACCCUAAUUCUAGCAUAUGGAAAUCAGAAUUCACAUGUAAAUAGGUUUAAGAACAUACCUUGAUUGUUAUGUAGCAAUAACAAUCCAAUUCCUCCUUGAAUUGACCUUGGAAAGCAAAGAGUCACAAGUGUCACUCCUCUAAUGGCUUACAAACACCAUAAGCAAGUGGAGAAAGUAUAUAGAGAGAGGAGGGAGGUUAGAAUUCGUAUUUGGGACUUCUUGGGAAGGGAUACACGAAUUCCUAACCCUAGGGGUGUUUAUAUAGGUGUAGAGAUAGGGUUUCAGUCAUUAUCCUUAUCUAGUUGAUUAUCCAUUAAGCAACCAAUAAGAUAAUCCUUGAAUCCUUAUCAUACUCAAAUUCUAAGGCUUUCCAACCUUAAAUUCGUUCACCAUACUUAUAAGAUAAUCCUUACCUUAUUUUGUAACUAUCACAUAAUUACAAUUCAGCCCCUCAAGUUUAAUUAAUUACACUUGAUCACAAAAUUAAUUCUCAAUUAAUUAUUGACCAAUAUUAAUUAAACAAAUAUGAUUUCUCCUUUAAUAUAUUAUUCUUAUAACAUAUUAAUAAAUCAUAUUAUCCUCUCUUUCUAUUUAUUUCUCCAAUCAAGUUGCUUUGGUGAAGGCAACCCAAAAGGACCAUGCACCAUCGGGUCAAGUACAUACCAAAAUAGUUAUGGACUUAGACACUAAUCCAACAAGAGUGUGGGACCGAAUCAGAGUGUAAUCAUCCCCGUCUUGGGAUGACCAGAAAUGAUGGGUCCCGAUUAGACAAUUGGACGGUAUGUCUGGGUCAUCGACCAAAGUAGAUGACCAACACUUGGCUAUUCUAGGCGGUCUUGUAUAUUACAUUGCUAGCAUGGCUUUAUAACCGGUGGACGUAGAUGAAAUGGAAAGUUAUAUUCAUCAAAAUCUCUAAACAUUGGUUGCCUUAUACGACUUACACUAGUCAAGGACUCCCCUAGCAUGUGUAGUCAAACAGUUGCUUAGACAGUUCAUCCAGU
rnacentral:lncRNA from 1 species